AGAGUUUGAUCCUGGCUCAGGAUGAACGCUAGCGGCAGGCCUAACACAUGCAAGUCGAGGGGUAACAGGGGAGCUUGCUCCCGCUGACGACCGGCGAAUGGGUGCGUAACGCGUAUGGAACCUGCCCACCGCAGGGGGAUAGCCCGUCGAAAGGCGGAUCAAUACCCCAUGGUCCCUAGGGCCCGCAUGGGCUUCAGGGUAAAGAUUUAUCGGCGGUGGAUGGCCAUGCGUGCCAUUAGCUAGUCGGUGGGGUAACGGCCCACCGAGGCGAUGAUGGCUAGGGGGUCUGAGAGGAUGGUCCCCCACACUGGUACUGAGACACGGACCAGACUCCUACGGGAGGCAGCAGUGAGGAAUAUUGGUCAAUGGGCGGAAGCCUGAACCAGCCAUGCCGCGUGCAGGAUUGACGGCCCUACGGGUUGUAAACUGCUUUUGCGCGGGAAGAAUAACCCCCUCGUGAGGGGGGAUGCCGGUACCGCGCGAAUAAGGAUCGGCUAACUCCGUGCCAGCAGCCGCGGUAAUACGGAGGAUCCGAGCGUUAUCCGGAUUUACUGGGUUUAAAGGGUGCUCAGGCGGGCCAUUAAGUCGGCGGUGAAAUUUUGCGGCUCAACCGUAAAAGUGCCUUCGAUACUGUUUGGCUAGGAUUUGGUUGUAGUGUGCGGAAUGUGUGGUGUAGCGGUGAAAUGCUUAGAUAUCACACAGAACACCGAUUGCGAAGGCAGCACACUAAGUCAUUAUUGACGCUGAGGCACGAAAGUGUGGGGAUCAAACAGGAUUAGAUACCCUGGUAGUCCACACUGUAAACGAUGAUAACUCGCUGUCGGCGAUACACAGUCGGUGGCCAAGCGAAAGCAUUAAGUUAUCCACCUGGGGAGUACGACCGCAAGGUUGAAACUCAAAGGAAUUGACGGGGGCCCGCACAAGCGGAGGAACAUGUGGUUUAAUUCGAUGAUACGCGAGGAACCUUACCCGGGCUCGAACGGUGCAUGAAUAUACGAGAGAUUGUAUAGUCCUUCGGGACAUGUAUCGAGGUGCUGCAUGGUUGUCGUCAGCUCGUGCCGUGAGGUGUCGGCUUAAGUGCCAUAACGAGCGCAACCCUUGUCAUUAGUUGCCAUCAGGUCAAGCUGGGGACUUUAAUGAGACUGCCACCGUAAGGUGUGAGGAAGGGGGGGAGGACGUCAAAUCAGCACGGCCCUUAUGUCCGGGGCGACACACGUGUUACAAUGGGAGGUACAGUGGGAAGCUACCUGGCGACAGGUUGCGGAUCCCCAAAUCCUUUCUCAGUUCGGAUCGGAGUCUGUAACUCGACUCCGUGAAGUUGGAUUCGCUAGUAAUCGCGCAUCAGCCAUGGCGCGGUGAAUACGUUCCCGGGCCUUGUACUCACCGCCCGUCAAG
rnacentral:rRNA from 1 species